GACGAACGCUGGCGGCGUGCCUAACACAUGCAAGUGGAGCGACGAACCGGGCUUCGGCCCGGGGCAAAGCCGCGAACGGGUGAGUAACACGUGGGUAACCUGCCCUGAUGAUCGGGACAACCCGGGGAAACUCGGGCUAAUACCGAAUGUGCCCUCCGGCCUCAAGGCCUCUGGGGAAAGGAAGCUUCGGCCUCCGCAUCGGGAUGGGCCCGCGGCCCAUUAGCUUGUUGGUGAGGUAAUGGCUCACCAAGGCAACGAUGGGUAGCUGGUCUGAGAGGACGAUCAGCCACACUGGGACUGAGACACGGCCCAGACU
rnacentral:rRNA from 1 species